AUGGAAGGUCAUGCGCCCUUCCAGCCUAUCCCCUCUUGCUUCUCCUUCUUCUCCAUGGCUCCACCAAGGAAGUUUUCAGCCGCAGAGAAAGGAAAGGCCCGCCAGGUCGAGUCUUCCUCUCCCCCGCCCAAGCGCGGUCGAGGUCGCCCUCGCAAGCACCCUGUGGCCUCCACGGCGGUCCCCCGUGGUCGCGGAGGUGGCUCUCAGCGCGGCGAUGAGCGGCUGGCCAUGGUCGGCGGGCGUGCUCCGGCCGUGCGACCCCCGAGGCCGCGCCUCCACACUGCGGAGGUGCUGCCGGAGUUCAUGGUGUGGGCGGUAGAGCCGUCCAGCGCCCGGCUUCAGCUCCCUCACUUCCUCCUGGGUGAGCUCCCAGCUGGCGCCUUGGGUGGCCUCUGGCUCCAAGCGGAUGGCUGCUGCAGCCGGACUUCGUGGGCUUCGCUGGAGGUCUCCGCUGCAGGGAACCUGUCCCUGACCCACGGCUGGCAGACGUUUGCUCGCGCGCGUGGUCUCCGCCGCCGGUGCUCUCUGCACUUCAAGUUCGACGGCGACGCCACCCUCUACAUGAGGGUGUUCGGGGAAGAUGGUCGCCAUGCGGGGUGCUGCCCUGAAGACGACGACCGGGGCCGGGGGCUCAGCCCCGGCGAGGAUGGAGAGGGUAGCGCGUGGGCGGUUGGCGACGCCCGCGACUCCUCAAGCUUUACCAGCUCUUCCUCGGGUAGCGACUCUUCUAGCAGCGGCCGUGGCCAGCCUCCACGCCGUCGCGCCUGCUUGGAGGGCGGCAGCGGGUCCGCUCGCUGUCGCGCCCUGGUGAAGCGCGAGAGGGAGUCCGCCUGA
rnacentral:rRNA from 1 species